rnacentral:rRNA from 1 species
CAGUCGCCGCGGGAAUACGGAGGGUGCAAGCGUUAAUCGGAAUUACUGGGCGUAAAGCGCACGCAGGCGGUUUGUUAAGUCAGAUGUGAAAUCCCCGAGCUUAACUUGGGAACUGCAUUUGAAACUGUCAGGCUGGAGUCUUGUAGAGGGGGGUGGAAUUCCAGGUGUAGCGGUGAAAUGCGUAGAGAUCUGGAGGAAUACCGGUGGCGAAGGCGGCCCCCUGGACAAAGACUGACGCUCAGGUGCGAAAGCGUGGGGAGCAAACAGGAUUAGAUACCCCGGUAGUCCCUGUCUCUUAUAA